AGCGGGCUUUACAGUGGUUUCUGCUGGAAGUGUCUCAGGACAAAAACGCAAACUAGGAGGUAAAAGAUAAAAAUAAUACUUUAAUUAUAUUUUUAUUUUUUGACUUUCGUUUGAAUUGAAUAUAACGUAAUUUUACAACCUUGUUUAAGGUGAAGAUGAUGAUUCCACAAAUUCAAAACGAAAUAAGGGUUAUGACCCAAACAGUGUGCCAUCGACCUCAACUUACGAGAUUUCUGAUAAAAUGACACCACAUCAUUCAGAAAUAGUAGUUUCUGCUGGAGGAGUCUCAGGACAAAAACGCAAACUAGAAGUUCUCUGGAGUUGCUCCGCCCUAAACGUGAUACUUCGAAGCCUGAUAUAACGCCCGGAGCGACGACAUUUCAUUGCAUGUUUGAGAAAAAAUUGUUAUUUUCUCAAACAUACUUCGAAAUGUAUGCGUUAAUAUCAUGAAAUGAAGACAUGAAGUUGCUCAUUUGCUCGUCUCAACAAGAUCUUUGACACAAGAUAGUACUCAGGGUCUGAUGAUGGAGCCGGAAGGUGGUCACCGGUACCAAUCAACCAUGCAACUAAACCACUUCGUGUUUAGGCUCGUUUUAUUCGUCUCAACAAGAUCUUUGACACAAGAUAGAUAGUACUCAAGGUCUGAUGAUGGAGCCGGAAGGUGGUCACCGGUACCAAUCAACCAUGCAACUAAACCACUUCGUGUUUGGGCUCGUUUGAUUUGUCUCAACAAGAUCUUUGACACAAGAUAGUACUCAAGGUCUGAUGAUGGAGCCGGAAUGUGGUCAUACCAGUUCGUUUUUAAACCCUCGUUGAUACAAACUUUACAACCUAUAGGUACCAAAUGCAAUGACGAAACAUGUAAAUAAGCGAGUACCUAUAAUUUCUUUCGAGUAAUAUACCUUCAUAAGUACGAGUAUGGGGCUAUUA